AUUGAACGCUGGCGGCAGGCCUAACACAUGCAAGUCGAACGAGUGGCGGACGGGUGAGUAAUGUCUGGGAAACUGCCCGAUGGAGGGGGAUAACUACUGGAAACGGUAGCUAAUACCGCAUACCAUCGGAUGUGCCCAGAUGGGAUUAGCUAGUAGGUGGGGUAAUGGCUCACCUAGGCGACGAUCCCUAGCUGGUCUGAGGGGAUGACCAGACACACUGGAGAUGAGACAAGGUCCAGACGCCUACGGGAGGCAGCAGGAGGGAAUAUUGCACAAUGGGCGCAAGCCUGAUGCAGCCACGCCGCGUGUAUGAAGAAGGCCUUCGGAUUGUAAAGUACUUGCAGCGAGGAGGCGUUACUCGCGGAAGAAGCACCGGCUAACUACGUGCCAGCAGCCGCGGUAAUAC
rnacentral:rRNA from 1 species